rnacentral:siRNA from 1 species
AUACAUAUUGGUGUUGCCUGAUGC